UAAGGAUAGGUCUUCAAAAAUGAUAUUUAGGUUUCUAAUAUCAUUUUUUUCUAAACUGAAUAGUUUGCGCGAGAGACACUUCCAAAGUGAAAAAAAGUGUGUCCCCCCCCCCUGUAACUUCUAAAAUAACGGAAUUAAAAAUCUAAAAAAAAUAUAUGAUAUACAUUACCAUGCAAACUUCCAACGAAAAUUGGUUUGAACCAGAUCUAGUAAGUAGUUUUUUUUUUAAUACGUCAUAAAAAUUAAAAAAAAAAUUUUUUUUCAUCAAACCCAUACGUGUGGGGUAUCUAAGGAUAGGUCUUCAAAAAUGAUAUUUAGGUUUCUAAUAUCAUUUUUUUCUAAACUGAAUAGUUUGCGCGAGAGACACUUCCAAAGUGAAAAAAAGUGUGUCCCCCCCCUGUAACUUCUAAAAUAACGGAAUUAAAAAUCUAAAAAAAAUAUAUGAUAUACAUUACCAUGCAAACUUCCAACGAAAAUUGGUUUGAACCAGAUCUAGUAAGUAGUUUUUUUAAUACGUCAUAAAUGGUACGGAACCCUUCAUGGGCGAGUCCGACUCGCACUUGGCCGCUUUUUUCGCCUAGCCGCCAUCCGCCAACCGUCCAACAAGGAACUUCGUUCCAAAAAGUCGUUCCAACGUCCAACAAACUUAUACUAGAUUAAGUAAGGCGUGUGAAGCGCUUUAGGUACUCUUAUGUAGUUAUAGACCCCGGCAUGCACUUAAUAACAUAAUUAUGGUGUCUUCUGAUACUUAAUUAUAUAGAUAAAGAUAUGAGACAUUACGAAACUUGCCUCGCGACGUUGUCAGCUUGCUCAGCUUCGAACGCAUUCUGUUGAGCUGGCAACAACGCUACCACUGCGAGCAGUCUACUACAUUAUUUUGUGGAGACUAUGGGCCGGGCCUCUGCAAACUUCAUUAAUAAUUAAAUGCGAUUUGCGUAACAUGCUUGCAUUGCGGUAGUUGAUUUGCACAUCGCAAAAACGUUGUUAAACGUAAAUAAUGUACGCAAAAUUGUCUACAAAAAAAUUCAAUACAAUUUUUAAAUGUUGAUGCUAGCGAAAAAAAGUACUAAAUCUUUCUUGUAGGUAAUUUUAUAUAGAUUGUUUACGUGAAAGAACAUUUUAUGGUAUGGGCCACUGUUUACGAGUUAUUUAAGAAAAACUAAAAGAAGGGACCUUUAAACAAUGUAUUCAGGCCAUUAUUAUAGUAUUUAUAUAAAAUCGCAUGUUGCAAGACAUGGUAUCUGUAGAAACCAUAUUUUUAAAAACUGUAAACAUGAAGUCCUCUUAGGCCAAUGAAGGCCUUGUAUAUUCUCAAAAUCCAACUUUGUCAGUAGAAAAAGGCGGCAAAAAGUAGACUCGAAGGAUCUAUAGCCCAUACAUAUUUUUAAUUUCACGCCUUUUUCCAUUAGGCACAAAGUUUUUUUGCAAGAGUAUAAAGAACUACUUGCGUUUUAGAUAAUCACCGACAAUUAAGUGCAACAAAUUCAACCGAUCGGUCAAAUGCCGCACAAAUCGCACGCAAUUUGUCGGUGUGGUUUGUAGAGGCCUUGAAAAAUUUCGCUAAUACGAGUAUGUAUUGUCUUUUAAAAACGUUAAAAAUUUUGUUCCCAUUAUCUAAACUCCACAUGAAAUUAUGUUAAUAUUAGUCAAAUAAAAUCUAUGUAUAACGUUAAUUAAUAUGUAUUACAAGUACAGUCAAAGAAUUUAAUUUGUGACCCAUUUCGUACCUUGUCACAGUGACAAUAGUAUGAGGUCUCUAGCGAGUUUCAUGUUGUUUGUCACUGUGACAAGGUACGAAAUGGGUAAGAAAUUAAAUUCCUUGACCGUACCAACCAAUACCAACCUGAUUACGUUAUUACCUACAAUUAUACAUGCCUGCCUACAUAUUUUACAUCACGUAAAAAGGUAAAAUAAGAAUAAAUAUUUUUAUUUUAAUUCUUAAUAAUAUUUAAACGAAGAAAUAAAUUUAAAAUACAUUUCUAAGACCCGUGUUCAAAUUCAAUUCUAAUUCAAACGAAUAAAGAUACUUUGGAAUUUGUGGGGAUUGAUAGAAAUUAAACUGGCAAUACUAUAUCGUUGACUUGCACUGCAGAGUGCCUACCGCGAACCACAUUCGACGUGUUGCCUCCCUGUCACAUUUACGUGCGAAGUUACAAGUGCGACAGAGAGGCAACACGUCAAUGGUGGUUCGCGGUAGGCCCUCUCCUCUGUUUCGGAACGGAACAUACUGUAUACUGUGGUGUCUGUGGUUAGUGUGGUUUCGUUUCGGUAUGUGACUCCUGCGUAUGCGCUCCUUGUUAUUCAUUACUUUUUAUUCAUUGUUUUGUUUUUUUGUUAUUUGACUUCGGCAUUCUCUACGGACUUACGAUUGCUCCACGAUACGGAUUUGUUGACAAGGGAUAACGACAACAAGGCACACUGAACGGACAAAGAAACGCAAAAAACAUGGCUCCUGCCGGGCGCUGUCAAUACAUAAAUUGCCUAAAUACAAGCGGAACUCAUUCAUUAUUCCGUUUUCCAGUAAAGGAUACAAAUCGUCUACGAACAUGGAUAAACAAUUCAGGAACUGCAGUUGAAGUGACACCUGAUACAUCACCACAAAAAUUAAAGGUUGACCUAAGAAAUGUGUAUGGAAAACGAGCGUUGCAAGUAUUACACGAUCAAGAAGUGGGAAGCUCAUCAACUUCGUCAAAAUUUGAACAUGCAUUUGCAUGGAGGAGUGCCGUAAGAGAAAAAGAUUACUUCACGUGUAAAAUUAGCUACACAAAUAUUUUCCCAUUCAGUUGGCGCAGCGAUCAACACAGCAAUACAAACAGGAGAACUGUCAAGCCCUACUGCUGCGAACACAGCUCAGUUUAUUGUUCAGAUAAACAACUUGUUUGACGCUCUCAACAGCAAAACUAAAUUUGACAAGAAUCCAAAGAAAUGUGGAUUAACAAAAGAUAACGCUGCGAGGCAAGCAUUAGAAAAUGGUCUCAGAAUUCUACAAGACUUAAAAAAAAUUGUUGUUAAAGGAAAUCUAAAAAAGAACACUACGCCUCCUUGUUUCGAGGGCUUACAGCAAAGCAUUAAUGGCAUAAUACUUAUUGUACACAGAAGAAAACACCGAAGGUGUACAGUACUUGUUAACAAACAGGUUAAAUCAGGAUGUGUUAGAAAAUUUAUUUUCAACAUAUAGACUAAAGGGCGGGAACAAUAAAAAUCCAAGCGUUCGAAUGUUAAGGUCAGUCUUUCGUAGCUAUUUAACUGAAAUGCUAGUACGGCUACCGGGUCAUCAAAAUUGCGAGCAGACAGAUGUAUCAAAUUGUGACCUAUCUGACAAUAGACAGAACCUCACCAAGGAGCCGGAGCCCGAGCCUCAGUUCGGAUUCCGAGGAUAUACCCGAGCCUACAGCAAGUGUUGUGCCCCGCAGCACGGCCCUACAGCAAGUGGAGAAGGCUCCGACGCCCUGCACAAUGCACAUCUCGCACAGCCGCCCGCGCCGAUAGCACAGGGACUCCGACUCUCGAACAAUGCUCUGUCACUUAUUUCGCAGGAUAUAUAUAGCAAACAAAUGUUUCAACAACUUUAAAUGUAACAAAUGCUUGAUGUCGAUGACUAAAAAUGUCGAUUUAAGUGAUAAAAAAACAAUUAUUUAUACUAGAGAAAACCUAUGGGCUCGCUGAAAACAACAUUAAAAUGCCCAAGUGUCAAUUUUUACCAAGUCAUUGACGUUUGUCUAACAAAUUAUGAGGACCAAUUUAAUAUUAUAAAACAUAAAUUAAAUGUAUUAAAAAACAUGACUAAUCAUUUAAUAUGUAUUUUAAAAAUAGAUCACGCUACCGCAUGUAAUAUAUAUUAUACUGUACAGAGCAUUUGAAAUACAGUGUAGAAAAAUUAAUUGAAACAUAAAUCAAUUAUUACUGCAAAUCACAAAAAAGAAACAGGAUUCAAAAUCAACAAAAGCUUAGGUUGUUACAAAAUAAAUGAAAUAAGUAGUUGUCA